CAGCCGCCGCGGUAAAACGAAGGGGGCUAGCGUUGUUCGGAAUUACUGGGCGUAAAGCGCACGUAGGCGGAUAUUUAAGUCAGGGGUGAAAUCCCAGAGCUCAACUCUGGAACUGCCUUUGAUACUGGGUAUCUUGAGUAUGGAAGAGGUGAGUGGAAUUCCGAGUGUAGAGGUGAAAUUCGUAGAUAUUCGGAGGAACACCAGUGGCGAAGGCGGCUCACUGGUCCAUUACUGACACUGAGGUGCGAAAGCGUGGGGAGCAAACAGGAUUAGAUACCCCUGUAGUCCCUGUCUCUUAUAC
rnacentral:rRNA from 1 species